rfam:Ictidomys tridecemlineatus contig033067, whole genome shotgun sequence.
UGGGUUGUAGCUCAGAGGUAGAGCACUCACCUACCAUGUGUGAGACACUGGGUUCCAUCCUCAGCACCACAU